UACGUAGGUGGCGAGCGUUGUCCGGAUUUACUGGGCGUAAAGAGCGCGCAGGCGGUCGUUCAAGUCGCGUGUGAAAGCCCCCGGCUCAACUGGGGAGGGUCACGCGAUACUGAUCGACUCGAAGGCAGGAGAGGGAAGUGGAAUUCCCGGUGUAGUGGUGAAAUGCGUAGAUAUCGGGAGGAACACCGGUGGCGAAGGCGGGUCUCUGGGCCGAUACUGACGCUGAGGAGCGAAAGCGUGGGGAGCGAACAGG
rnacentral:rRNA from 1 species